rnacentral:lncRNA from 1 species
CUGUAGACUCCCACACUAAAGCAAAGAUGAAGUCAAAGACCUCAAUAACACUCCAAGGAGAAUGGCAUAGCUUAUGUGGGCAGACAGCAGAAUGAACGGCCAUCAGCAGAUAAGACAAACAGAGUAACAUCUUCAAAAUGUGUUAGCAGAAUCCACAGUGCCCUGGCAACCUGGCAUCUAACCCAGAAAAAUAAUCCCCCAGGAGUUUACAACCUAAAGAGAAAAGCAUGACAAGAGUGACCAGUGAUGGGACGAGAGACCAGUGACCAGUGACGAGAGAGCUGAAGGGGAAGCAGUCCUGGAGUGGAGAGGCUUCGAACACUAUACCGCAGAGGAGGCUGGUUCGCCUGCCCUCAGCAGCCUGGAACCUUGGAUUUGGGACAGCUCAACUUGCAUGCUUCAUGCAGCAGCUGUGCUCUGACCUGAGGGAAGAAACAGGGCCCAAACCGGAGUGGCCCAGCGCAGGAACGCAGCCCCCGGGGUCCAGCCAUCUGAAAAACAGGCUGAAGGACCCUCACAUCAUGAACCACUCCACACAGCCACCCCCUCGGAGGGAAACUCACUCAGGCAUGGCCAUCUCGACAUUGCUAUGCGCUUUACCUCGUGUUAAAAUUCUGAACGUUCACAUUGUUGAAACAACACUGGGAGAGAGAAAGUGUGUUUGUGGGGGUCUAAGUGUUUUACAGCGGCAAAGUUAGCUAAGUUAGAAAACUAAUCAAGAGAUGUUUACAAUAUCAUUUAUGCACGAGUUAGCUUCCGAAU